ensembl:snoRNA
CCUGGCCCUGAAUCAAGACCAGCAGUUCUUUUGUAGCUGCUGGUUUCAAACAGGAGCCUAAAGAGAAGUCUUUCUAGGGUCUGUUGGCCAUUUCAGGACCUUGGAAAUGUAAUGGUUAGAAAGAAAUAGCU